rnacentral:rRNA from 1 species
GAUGAACGCUGGCGGCGUGCUUAACACAUGCAAGUCGAGCGAACAGACGCGGAGCUUGCUCCUCUGACGUUAGCGGCGGACGGGUGAGUAACACGUGGAUAACCUACCUCUAAGACUGGGAUAACCUCGGGAAACCGGAGCUAAUACCGGAUAAUAUAUUGAACCGCAUGGUUGAAUAGUGAAAGACGGUUUUGCUGUCACUUAUAGAUGGAUCCGCGCCGCUUUAGCUAGUUGGUAAGGUAACGGCUUACCAAGCCAACGACGCGUAGCCGACCGGAGAGGGUGAGCGGCCACGCGAGAACGGAGACACGGUCCAGACUCGUACGAGAGGCAGCAGUAGGGAAUCUUGCAGAAGGGGGGAAUGCUGGACGAAGCAAGGCCGCGUGAGGGAUGAAGGUCUUCGGAUCGUAGAACGCUGUUGUGAGGGAAGAAGAAAUGUGUAGGUAACUAGGCACGUCUUGACGGUACCUGAAGAGAAAGCCACGGCUAACUACGUG